UACGUAGGGGGCAAGCGUUAUCCGGAAUUACUGGGUGUAAAGGGAGCGUAGACGGUUAAGUAAGUCUGGAGUGAAAGGCCGGGGCCCAACCCCGGGACUGCUCUGGAAACUAUUGAACUUGAGUGCAGAAGAGGACAGUGGAACUCCAUGUGUAGCGGUGGAAUGCGUAGAUAUAUGGAAGAACACCAGUGGCGAAGGCGGCUGUCUGGUCUGCAACUGACGCUGAGGCUCGAAAGCAUGGGUAGCGAACAGG
rnacentral:rRNA from 1 species